rnacentral:rRNA from 1 species
CCAUCAGCGGGGGAUAACACUUGGAAACAGGUGCUAAUACCGCAUAAUGCUUUUUCUCACAUGAGAGAAAGCUGAAAGGCGCUUUUGCGUCACUGAUGGAUGGACCCGCGGUGCAUUAGCUAGUUGGUAGGGUGACGGCCUACCAAGGCAACGAUGCAUAGCCGACCUGAGAGGGUGAUCGGCCACACUGGGACUGAGACACGGCCCAGACUCCUACGGGAGGCAGCAGUAGGGAAUCUUCGGCAAUGGACGAAAGUCUGACCGAGCAACGCCGCGUGAGUGAAGAAGGUUUUCGGAUCGUAAAAACUCUGUUGUUAGAGAAGAACAAGGAUGAGAA